GACGAACGCUGGCGGCGUGCCUAAUACAUGCAAGUAGAACGCUGAAGGAGGAGCUUGCUUCUCUGGAUGAGUUGCGAACGGGUGAGUAACGCGUAGGUAACCUGCCUGGUAGCGGGGGAUAACUAUUGGAAACGAUAGCUAAUACCGCAUAAUAGUAGAUGUUGCAUGACAUUUGCUUAAAAGGUGCAAUUGCAUCACUACCAGAUGGACCUGCGUUGUAUUAGCUAGUUGGUGGGGUAACGGCUCACCAAGGCGACGAUACAUAGCCGACCUGAGAGGGGGAUCGGCCACACUGGGACUGAGACACGGCCCAGACGCCUACGGGAGGCAGCAGUAGGGAAUCUUCGGCAAUGGACGGAAGUCUGACCGAGCAACGCCGCGUGAGUGAAGAAGGGUUUCGGAUCGUAAAGCUCUGUUGUAAGAGAAGAACGAGUGUGAGAGUGGAAAGUUCACACUGUGACGGUAUCUUACCAGAAAGGGACGGCUAACUACGUG
rnacentral:rRNA from 1 species